CGUGUUUGAAAUUCACGCUAAUAACCUAGAUUUAGGGAUAAACACGGUAUAAUAUGGUACGAAACGAAGUUAUUUUUUCCAUGUCAUUUAAAAAAAAUAGAAUUAAAUUACGAGCCACAUCACGUUUCUGGUAACUGAAAAAUAGAUGCAGGAUAUAUAUAUUUGAUAAUAACCUUAUAGUUUGAAGGUUUAGAAAAUAUUUUGAAAGUUUCAGGGUAUUUUUGAUAAAGUGAAUAUAGUUGAGGAGUUUUCAUGAUAUUUAACCUAUAAUUAAAUAAGUCCGCACGCAUGCAGGACCUCUACACCACACAAAAGUGGAAAAACUACUCGCACGUAGACGAGAUUAAUGAACCAAAGACCUCUCACAAAUGAGAGCUUUUGGAUGCCUCAACUUUACUACUUGAGUUAGGCCAUAUUGACAACAAUACGUUCUUUUCUUUACGAAAAAAGAGUGAAAAAAAAUUACAUAUUUCAUUUAUUUUAUAUUUCUUUUUCACAUAUCGUAAGGUGGAUAGUUUUCUUAGAGUAUAAUGGAAAAAAAUUGAGCAACUCUAUUUUUCUUUUUUUCACUCAAAUUUAUGAUAAUAUUAUCACGAGUUAUGAAUAUAUAUAAUAUAAUAUAAUAUAAUAUAAUAUAAUAUAAUCUAAUCUUUUUGGGAGUGUUGAUGUGAUAAACUAUAUUUAUAUGUUUUCCACUUUAAAGAACAUGAAAAAAAAACUGAGAUAGAUAAUUCUUUUCCUUCUCAUUAUAAAUUUACAAUUAAAAAGAGGCAUUAGGAGUCUUAUCAUUUAAAAUUUCCCCAAGGGACUUAAAAGUCAAAGUUAUGUCUAAACUACUGAUAUUAUAUGUAUUUUUGUGACGAUGUCGUUAAGUGACCAAUUGACUAGCCACAUAUAUUUUCCCAGCUUUAAAUUUUGGGAUAAUUAGCUCAUAAAUUACUAAAUUUUAAUCAAAAUUUUAGUUUUGCGCAUCAAUUUUAAAAUAUAUUCAUGACGAUUAAGUUUUCAAAUUCAUUUGAUUUUUCUCAUGAGUUGGAUACCAACCCAAUUUAGUGAGGUGAAUUCUAGCCCAAUAACAUGAUCGUAUGAAUUUUUGCCCUUAUGUUUGAAUUGAUUCCAAAUUAAUUAUGUACAAUUUCAAUCGGAAACAAUGAUAUUUUGAUAUGUUAAUUGGGUUGGAAUUUGGUUUUGCUAGGAAAAUCUUAUUAAAUUAAAAUAUUAGUAAUUAUUCGGAAACCAAUAUAUGUAUAAAAGUAGUUUUUUAUUAUAUAUAUACAAUUAACCCUAUACAUAUCUACAUCUAUAAUUUAUAUUUUUGCAAAAUAUAUAUGAGUAAUAAGUUUCGUUUGUAUUAUUGCUUACCGACAUGCUUGUUGUUCUUCAAUUAUGGGCCGCUCAGUUAUAAAUUUGUCGUCAUUUAAUUAAAUUACAUUGAUGGUACGUUGGUGAAUUAUUUUGUUGAGAGAUUUUGUUCUUAUAUUAUUUGUUUUUAUGAAGGCAAAAAUAUGAAAGUGAGAUGACGAUACGCGACAUUUAUAUACAAUAUGGGUAUCACAUCCUACAAAAUUAUACUCGUUGGCAGGCCAGGAAUUAAUUAUAUGUACGUGUCUAGGUUAGGGGGGGCUAGAGCCCCCUCCCAAAUUUUGAUUUUUUUUUAAAUAUAUAUAGAUAUAUGUUUAUACCUAUUAUAAAAUAAUUUUGUUUUAUAAAAGAGUAUUUGGUUAUUAUAUUCUCUCAUAUAUAUACUUAAUUUAAGGAUAAUUCUGUUAUUUAAAACUAUAUAAUCUAUGAAAUAUUGUUUGUUAUUAUUACUAUUAUACUU
rnacentral:lncRNA from 1 species